AGAGUUUGAUCCUGGCUCAGGACGAACGCUGGCGGCGCGCUUAACACAUGCAAGUCGAACGAUGAUGCUGGAGCUUGCUCCAGUUGAUUAGUGGCGAACGGGUGAGUAACACGUGAGCAAUCUGCCCUUGACUCUGGGAUAACUGCGGGAAACUGUAGCUAAUACCGGAUACUUUCACCGGAAGGCAUCUUCUGGUGAUGAAAGAAUUUCGGUCAGGGAUGAGCUCGCGGCCUAUCAGCUUGUUGGUGAGGUAACGGCUCACCAAGGCGACGACGGGUAACCGGCCUGAGAGGGUGACCGGUCACACUGGGACUGAGACACGGCCCAGACUCCUACGGGAGGCAGCAGUGGGGAAUAUUGCACAAUGGGCGCAAGCCUGAUGCAGCAACGCCGCGUGAGGGAUGAAGGCCUUCGGGUUGUAAACCUCUUUUAGCAGGGAAGAAGCGAAAGUGACGGUACCUGCAGAAAAAGCACCGGCUAACUACGUGCCAGCAGCCGCGGUAAUACGUAGGGUGCAAGCGUUGUCCGGAAUUAUUGGGCGUAAAGAGCUCGUAGGCGGUUUGUCACGUCUGCUGUGAAAAUCCAAGGCUCAACCUUGGACUUGCAGUGGGUACGGGCAGGCUAGAGUGCGGUAGGGGAGAUGGGAAUUCCUGGUGUAGCGGUGGAAUGCGCAGAUAUCAGGAGGAACACCAAUGGCGAAGGCACAUCUCUGGGCCGUAACUGACGCUGAGGAGCGAAAGCGUGGGGAGCAAACAGGAUUAGAUACCCUGGUAGUCCACGCCGUAAACGGUGGGUGCUAG
rnacentral:rRNA from 1 species